rnacentral:lncRNA from 1 species
CUUUUUUUCUUUAAAUGAGGUAUGUGUUUUAUCUAGAGGAGUGUACAUGGGUGGAGCACCUCUGGAGCACCUGUCUGGAGAUGGGACUUCAAGGACAGAGAGCCAUCCUGGAAGAAGCAAGUGGGCAUCUGGGUAGGACAGGUAGACUUUGUCAGUUGCGAAGAGGGCAGCAGGAGUAAGGCUGUGCUGAAGAUAUGAAAAUAAGCAGUUGGAGAAACCAGAAAAGUGACUGGGGAUCUGUAUACUGCUGAGAAUUGCUUGGAAAGUUUUACUUCUGAUGAACAAGGCUGCACAGCUGAGAUUUCAAGUUGUGUGGAAGAAGACCUGAUAUUCAUUGCUAUAUGUUUAAGGAGUGCUGUAUUGAAGCUUGCUCAGGCCCACAGCCAGCAGUGGCAUGUUCACAGAGGGAAGCAGCCAGAUACCCUGCAGUGCUGCUGAUCAUCACUGUGCUUUUAUCAGCACUAGUGCUAGGACCUCAGCUCCACGGUCACAGCCCUGUUUUAACUCAAUUUGUAAAACUACUUCUGCUUGGAGAAAUAGGAGUGGUAAAACAUAAAGGUG